rnacentral:rRNA from 1 species
AUUGAACGCUAGCGGGAUGCUUUACACAUGCAAGUCGAACGGCAGCGCGGACUUCGGUCUGGCGGCGAGUGGCGAACGGGUGAGUAAUGUAUCGGAACGUGCCCAGUAGCGGUGGAUAACUACGCGAAAGCGUAGCUAAUACCGCAUACGCCCUACGGGGGAAAGCAGGGGAUCGUAAGACCUUGCACUAUUGGAGCGGCCGAUAUCGGAUUAGCUAGUUGGUGAGGUAACGGCUCACCAAGGCGACGAUCCGUAGCUGGUUUGAGAGGACGACCAGCCACACUGGGACUGAGACACGGCCCAGACUCCUACGGGAGGCAGCAGUGGGGAAUUUUGGACAAUGGGGGCAACCCUGAUCCAGCCAUCCCGCGUGUGCGAUGAAGGCCUUCGGGUUGUAAAGCACUUUUGGCAGGAAAGAAACGUCGCGGGCUAAUACCCCGUGGAACUGACGGUACCUGCAGAAUAAGCACCGGCUAACUACGUG